rnacentral:lncRNA from 1 species
AUCCUGCCUGUGGAUCCUCCCUCCAGCUGAAGGCUCCCGGCUCCUCGGGAGCAAGCAGCGCUUCCAGUCCCUUCCCAGGGAUGAGCAGAGAGCCGGAUUCCCUCCCCAGGCUGCAGGCGGGGGAUUUCAAACGGAGCCAGAGCGCACAAUCCCCGGGGCGAGGAGCGAACAAACACCUCAUUCCCACUGGGAAUGGGUGUGGAGCCAGGCAGAGCUUGUCUUGCAGGACCUUCCAUUCAUGGAAAAACUGGGAAAGUUUUGGGAAAUGAGAGAGGAUCCUCAUCUCCUGGAUCUGGCUGAGGCCUGGAAUUGCUGAAGUGGUUGUGGAGUUCCUGGGAGCUCUGCUCUGAACACACGAGCUCCCCUUAGGAAAAUUUUCCCACAAAAAAAAAAAAAAAUAAAGGAAAAGAAAAAAAAAAGGAAAACCCCA